UUUGAUUUACGGAAAGAUUCGUGACACACUGCGAGAGAACGAAAGAACUUGUAGACUCUUGCGCUGCGAUAAAUAUCGAUAAUGGUGGAUGGGUAACUGAAUAUUCCGUACUGUUCUCUUGUGUCGUUGGCCGAGCAGCGAGGAAUUUCUUCCCGGCCGAUUUAAUCGAAUGGCGUGCGCGUUGUUCGGUCAACGACAACGUAUGCAUAGUUUAUGCAUAGAAUAAUUCUUCUUAUAAAGGUAUAUAUCUUUGAAGAAUUUUUCAUUGAUCGAUCUGGAGAUUCAAUAUACAUACCUAUCAAAAAUCGCACGUACAUAGUUUUAAUUCAGCUACUCGGGUCGAUAUACGUACGAUACAAAGAUUUUCCUAACAUAUACCAUUAUCUUAUCGUAUAGUACGAAAAUCAACGGGAAGAAAAGAAAAAAAAUAAAGAGAAAAAGAAAGUGCAAAAAUCGGUCAGGGUAGGUUACGGCAAGGUAGAAAUGUAGAUAAUAGUAAACAGUCAAUUCGUUGUUUGACUGCGGACACGUGUUUGAGUUAACGAUCUCUGUCACUCGUGCCUCGAUGACUCACCUCACCGCAGGUAUGUUAUCCUAUACAAAUUUAGAAUCUUUGAGAAAUUCAUACGAAACCAGUAUAUCAAUCGAUUAUGCGCGCAAUCUUAAUUUUUUCCUCGUAAUAAUAAUAAUAAUAAUAAUAAUAAUAACAAUAAUAUAUAUACAUAUACGGAUCGUACUCCCUAUAGCAAAUACAUUGCUUGUUACAAUAUGAAAAGUAGUUACCUCGAGAGAAUAGAAAGUAAAGCACGCCCGGGCGCCUGGGAAGUACAGAAAAAGUUGAUUUAUUCGUAGUAAAGAUUGACGUUUAUAAUAAGCUUAUUUAGACCAUUUUGUUGCCUAUAAAGAGUACGCUGCGAUUCUUAUCUAAAAAAAAAAAAAAAGACAACGCCUAAUAGAGGAUCAAUGUAUGCUUAAAUUGAAUUGUGAUGUAAUUUCGGGACUACUCGCAAGGGCUACUAAGUACCUUGUAAGCAAAAAUUAAAUCGAAUCUUAAACGUCGAUGGUAGAAGCGACAUAAGGCUUCGGACGGUUUAAGAUCGGAGAAUAGUCGCGAAAAACGGAAUAUCGGACAAACUAAAACGCGAAUAGCGAAGCGUAUUUAUUUCAUUCGAUUAUUUGGAUGAUGCGUCGUUUAAUUCGGUUUUCAGUUCGUCUAUCGCGUAUUCUAGAAUAGGAUUAAACGAAUACAACCUCUUUUUGACAAAAUUAUUAGCCGAGUUGAUCAGUUGAAACUAUUAUGUCACACUAUACGAUCGAUUUUGUACAGUGCGGUAGAGUAGUAGAAUUUCAGUGUUCGAGAAGCUUCCGUUUCGUACUGCUAGUAGUAAACUAGGCAUGAGCGCACCCGUAUACGUUCAAAUCUGGGCCACGGGUUAACUCGUCGAUACGUCUCGAGUCUCAAGCUCCUCCAUCGCCUCUUCAGAUUUCUACCUUCUCUUUCUAAUCUUUAUUAUCCUUUCCCCCCAUUCUUUUCACCGUUUACUCCCAUGUACACGCGCAUUUUCUAACCGUAAUUCUUUUGUAGUUUUCUCAAUUCUAUCGUUACGAAAUAAUUUUCUUCCUAUGAAAUACUUGGAUUUUUCAUUCGUGUAAAAAUUUGAUAUCUCUAUGUUACUUGUUCCUAGAUACUCUUGCUUUGUUGAUAUUUCCCAGUCGGCGGAGUCUCGUAACUCGCAGCUUCUUGUUUCAGGCGGUCCCUUGUUCGUUAUCGUACACAGAUCAAAUCCUUGUAUAAUCAACGGUCGCGUGUGUUCUAACGCGUACUCGUUAAAUAUGCAAAAAUUGUCAAACUUAGAAAAUAUUCUGUUUCCCUGUAUCGUCGAUUAUAUUUACUCGUAAUACGAAACUAGUUAACAAGGAUCAUAAAAAUAUCACUGGUAAAUACACGUUACGCGUUAAGUGUAUGUUAUGAGAAUGAAAUUAGACGCAUAGAUUAUGCAUCACGACGUCGGAUCGAAGAAUAUAUGCCAUGUGUAUGUGUACAAUAGAAUCGGUGCUGCGGUGCAAUUUAACAUAGAGGGGGAGAAGGAAAGGCAGCGGAGAGACGGUAGAGGCAUGAAAAUGUAUUAUCGGCUUCUGGUUGCUAGGUAUUCGUCGGCGGUGUUGCCAAGCAGAGAGAGAAUCGUAUCUUUGGCGCGAGAGGCGAAUAGGUGGGAGCUAAGGGGAGAGCAAAACUGUUGAUUAGGGAACAGAAAAGGAAAGGGAAUGAACAAACGAACGAGCAGCCGUACAGAAUGAAACGGAAGCAUCGUGUUAUUGCGUUAUUGGGGAAGCAAGAAGCAAGCGUACACGCGACGAGAGGGUCAGGCAACAGUUCUAACAGAGGUUGAAAGUUCUCGGUCGGCAAAGAAACAGAAAA